GGAGAUAUGGCUCAAGUGGUAGAGCACCUGCCUAGAAAGCACGUGGCCUAUUGCCA
rnacentral:tRNA from 1 species